rnacentral:tRNA from 34 species
AGGAGCGUAGCUCAGUUGGUAGAGCAUCGGUCUCCAAAACCGAGGGCCGUGGGUUCGAGUCCCCCCGCUCCUGCCA